GGGUCUACCCAUUGGUCAGGCUUAAUUGUCUGCACUGGUGAGAUGGAUCUCUACCUUCUGAGGAACUUUCAUGCCAUUUAUUUGGUGUGGUUGGAAAUCAGGACUGUUACUUUGAAAAAAUUAGAGUGUUUAAAGCAGACUAUCGUCUGAAUACAUUAGCAUGGAAUAAUGAAAUAGGACGGACUGAUUCUAUUUCGUUGGUUUCUAGGGGUGGCAUA
rnacentral:rRNA from 1 species